rnacentral:rRNA from 1 species
CACGGCGCACGGGUGCGUAACACGUGGGCAAUCUGCCCUCCGAUGGGGAAUAACCCCGCGAAAGCGGGGCUAAUACCGCAUAACAUUCCUUGAGCGACGGUUCGAGGAUUCAAAGCAGUAAUGCGUCGGAGGAGGAGCCCGCGCCCGAUUAGCUAGUUGGUGAGGUAACGGCUCACCAAGGCUAUGAUCGGUAGCUGGUCUGAGAGGAUGAUCAGCCACACUGGAACUGAGACACGGUCCAGACUCCUACGGGAGGCAGCAGUGGGGUAUCUUGCACAAUGGGUGAAAGCCUGAUGCAGCGACGCUGCGUGGGGGAUGAAACUUUUUGGAGUGUAAACCCCUUUCGCCUGGGACGAAUGCCCGCAAGGGAGUGACGGUACCAGGAUAAGAAGCCCCGGCUAACUACGUGCCAGCAGCCGCGGUAAGACGUAGGGGGCCAGCGUUGUUCGGAAUUACUGGGUGUAAAGGGUUCGUAGGCGGUGUGGCAAGUUGGGAGUGAAAUCUCUGGGCUCAACCCAGAGGCUGCUUCCAA